rnacentral:misc_RNA from 1 species
AUACUCUCAAGCUCUGCUUGGUGUUGGGUGUUUGUCCUCUCCUCUGCGGUUGGACUCGCCUUAAAGUAAUUAGUAGCUAGUGUUUUUAGUAUUGAAGCGCAGCAUAUUUUGUAUAUCUAGCUGAAAAUACUUGCGUCUAUAAGCUUUAUUUUUAC